AUCCCUAAUUUUUUUUUAAAGAUAUGACAAUUUGCAUUUGCCUACAAGCCUCAUGGCAAAGAAUGUUUAAUCCCCCUAAAGUCCAAUUAAUUAUAAAUAAGUAAUGCAUUUACUUUUUUAUUGAAGAAACCACAUGGAAACGUUUUCUAACAUAAACCAAAAAAUAAAUGAAUUUAAACACUUAUCAAUGAUUCAUCCAUCAGUGCCAUAGCUGAACUUUAAAGCAUUUGAGAAAAUACAAACACAAAUACCAAAUGAACAUCAUGAUUUCACAGAAACAAAUAAAAAAUAAUUGACCCUAUUAGAUCCAAAAUCAACUUGUGGAGCUGAAAUAACAGAAAUAUCUUUUAAUCAACGAUGAACAUGACCACAAAGAGACUACCAUGAGUCACAAGGUUGAUCUUUAUAGAUACUAAAACAACUUAAAAGUACAAAAGUUUUUAAUGGUGAAAACCCAUAAAAUUAUUGAAUUAAUUUAGAAGUGAAACAAACUGUUAAGUGAUAUACCAUAUCUUGCAAUUGACUUUUAAAUUUGAAAUAACAAUAAAACAAUAAAAACUACAAAAUCAUGUAAAGCUAAAUUUUUGAUGGAGGAAUAUAUUGUUGAUGUAGCUGUUGAUAUCCGCUGGAGUCCAACCUCAGCAGCUCAACAAAUAAGACCGAGGUCCGACCUCGCCAACUCCAGUGAUGGGUGAUUCUCGAAGUCUGCCAGUAAUUUAUUGUGAUUUACAAAAGCUGAAUUUGCCGGAGGACUGCGAGAAGUGAGAAUUAUCGCUUGUGAUGACAAAAUGUGACCUGUAGAAUAUAUUUUAAAGCAGUCGUAAUGGUUUGUCUUGAUGAAAAAUCUUGGAAAUUUCCAAAGACGAACUCCAUCCAAAAAAUCUACUAAGACUGCCAAAAGGCUUAGCUUCAGGAUGAAUUUAUGCCCACUCAUCCCUCAAAAAUUACCCGAUAAAAAUAUAAUACGGAUGGGAACAUGUCAACCGACUACCAGCAUAACACUUGGGAAAAGAAGGAAUCAAACAAGCAAAUUACUUUUACAUAAAUAAGUAAAUAAAAUGAAAAACACUAUUGGGACCCAUAGGAGCGAGCAUCUUAGAAAAGAAGACAAAGUAAGAGCAUGGAAACAACAAGAAUCACUGACUGGACAGCAAUCCAAGAAACGACAUAAUGCAUCAAAAGAAGCACAAAGAGAUACUGAAUCAUAACAAGGAAGAACAAAACCCCAAGUGUGUAAACCAUGUACAAAACCGCAUGAGAUGACCAAUCAAACCACCGACUUAAACAAUUUAUUCAUAGAUAUACUCUUGAAGUCUCCCUGUUGAUGUAGUUUUGUCCCCUCGUAAACCCAUCACUGAAGAUGGCGAGAAGCCAAAACAAAUAUGAGACAUAACAAGAAAAGUCAGGUCAAAAUGAUCAGACCCAACCGAACUACAGGUUAAUUACUCUGAAGACCCACGAAGAAAUUUCCAAGUGUUUUAGUUAAAAAAUUAGUAAAAACUAUAAUG